rnacentral:rRNA from 1 species
AAACCAGCACCUCAAGUGGUCAGGAUGAUUAUUGGGCCUAAAGCAUCCGUAGCCUGCUCUGUAAGUUUUCGGUUAAAUCUGUACGCUCAACGUACAGGCUGCCGGGAAUACUGCAGAGCUAGGGAGUGGGAGAGGUAGACGGUACUCGGGAGGAAGUGGUAAAAUGCUUUGAUCUCUCGAUGACUACCUGCGGCGAAGGCGGUCUACCAGAACACGUCCGACGGUGAGGGAUGAAAGCUGGGGGAGCAAACCGGAUUAGAAACCCGUGUAGUCC